GCGGAGGGAUGGCUUCCGCUCCCCAUUGGCCGGGCACCGGGUAGCCCCGGGCCUCCAUUGGCGGGAGCGAGCGUCAAUCGCGGCGCGGGGGCGGGCGCGGCUCGCGACGGCGGUGCCGGCCGGCGAUUGGUCUGGGGGCGGGGCCGGGGGCCGAGGGGCGGGGCCGGGGGCGGCUGCGUCAUGACUCUGCCAGCUGAUCCGGGACGGAGCCGGCGCGGCGGGGGAGGCGGUGGCACCGGCACCGGGAACAGGGACCCGCCACGGCCCGGGCGGCACCGGUGGGACCGGACCCGCGGGUGAUUCCAUGCCCCCUUGCUCCUGGCUAACCAGCACCAGUUCUUCAGUGGCAAGCUUUAUGUCCUUCUCCAGUAGCUAAAGCUGCCAGUUGAAGAACUGUUGAAUGUAGCCACUCUCUUCUUGUCACUGGGACCUUGGAUGCCAGCCAGACCCGUGCCCUGAGUGACCAGGAUCAGCCAGUCUGAAGCGUCCUGUGGAUUUGAGGGCUGAGGAUGAGUCCAGCCGGGAUGAAGAAGUCUCUCCACAGCCUCCAGACAGAGUCUUGGCUGGGGGAUUGCCAGGCAGCCCUGUCAGCGGGGUCCCACGGCAGUGGGGUGUCACUGAGCUGAGAGGAGACCAAAAGAGGCAUUAAACUUUCUGUUUUGCUCAACA